AUUGAACGCUGGCGGCAGGCUUAACACAUGCAAGUCGAGCGGGGUGAUGGUGCUUGCACUAUCACUUAGCGGCGGACGGGUGAGUAAUGCUUAGGAAUCUGCCUAUUAGUGGGGGACAACAUCUCGAAAGGGAUGCUAAUACCGCAUACGUCCUACGGGAGAAAGCAGGGGAUCACUUGUGCCCUUGCGCUAAUAGAUGAGCCAAAGCCGGAUUAGCUAGUUGGUGGGGUAAAGGCCUACCAAGGCGAGGAUCUGUAGCGGGUCUGGGAGGAUGAUCCGCCACAAUGGGAAUGAGACACGGCCCAGACUCCUACGGGAGGCAGCAGUGGGGAAUAUUGGACAAUGGGGGGAACCCUGAUCCAGCCAUGCCGCGUGUGUGAAGAAGGCCUUAUGGUUGUAAAGCACUUUAAGCGAGGAGGAGGCUCUUUUGGUUAAUACCCAAGAUGAGUGGACGUUACUCGCAGAAUAAGCACCGGCUAACUCUGUGCCAGCCGCCGCCGUAA
rnacentral:rRNA from 1 species